AUUGAACGCUGGCGGCAGGCCUAACACAUGCAAGUCGAACGGUAGCACAGAGAGCUUGCUCUCGGGUGACGAGUGGCGGACGGGUGAGUAACGUCUGGGAAACUGCCCGAUGGAGGGGGAUAACUACUGGAAACGGUAGCUAAUACCGCAUAACGUCGCAAGACCAAAGUGGGGGACCUUCGGGCCUCACACCAUCGGAUGUGCCCAGAUGGGAUUAGCUAGUAGGGGGGGUAAUGGCUCACCUAGGCGACGAUCCCUAGCUGGUCUGAGAGGAGGACCAGCAACACUGGAACUGAGACACGGUCCAGGAUCCUACGGGAGACAGCAGUGGGGAAUAUUGCACAAUGGGCGCAAGCCUGAUGCAGCCAUGCCGCGUGUAUGAAGAAGGCCUUCGGGUUGUAAAGUACUUUCAGCGGGGAGGAAGGCGGUGAAGUUAAUAGCUUCACCGAUUGACGUUACCCGCAGAAGAAGCACCGGCUAACUCCGUGCCAGCCGCCGCCGUAA
rnacentral:rRNA from 1 species